CAGAGUGACUCUUCAGACCCCUCAGUGGACUGAAAAAUGGAUAGAUGAGGGUCCGGUGACUGAAGGUGGACAAGAGUCAAGUGCUUCUAUUGAUGCUGAAUCAAAGGCCACACAGACGAAUGACACAGGUGGAAAACCAGUAUCUAAACCCAUUCCCAGCAAAGGGCAG